ACCAGUAGCCCAAAUAUCCUAAAUGCACUAGAUCUCAUUUGAUCUUAGAAACUAAAAAGGAUCUGCCCUGAUUAGUAUUUGGAUAGAAGACCAUCAAUCAAUACAAGGUACUGUAGGCU
rnacentral:rRNA from 1 species